GAUGGACGCUAGCGGCAGGCCUAAUACAUGCAAGUCGAACGGUGUCUUCGGACAUAGUGGCGCACGGGUGCGUAACACGUAUGCAACCUACCUUACAUCGGGGGAUAGCCCUUCGCAAGGGAGAUUAAUACCGCAUAAGACAGUACCUGGGCAUCCAGCAGCUGUUAAAGAUUUAUCGAUGUAAGCUGGGCAUGCGUCCAAUUAGCUAGUUGGUGAGGUAACGGCUCACCAAGGCAAUGAUUGGUAGGGGAACUGAGAGGUCAAUCCCCCACACUGGCACUGGGAUACGGGCCAGACUCCUACGGGAGGCAGCAGUAGGGAAUAUUGGGCAAUGGACGCAAGUCUGACCCAGCCAUGCCGCGUGCAGGAUGAAGGCGUUAUACGUUGUAAACUGCUUUUAUACAGGAAGAAACGACUCUUGCGAGAGGCAUUGACGGUACUGUAUGAAUAAGCACCGGCUAACUCCGUGCCAGCCGCCGCAGUAAUAC
rnacentral:rRNA from 1 species